UACGAAGGGGGCUAGCGUUGCUCGGAAUCACUGGGCGUAAAGCGCACGUAGGCCGAUUGUUAAGUCAGGGGUGAAAUCCUGGAGCUCAACUCCAGAACUGCCUUUGAUACUGAGGAGCUUGAGUCCGGGAGAGGUGAGUGGAACUGCGAGUGUAGAGGUGAAAUUCGUAGAUAUUCGCAAGAACACCAGUGGCGAAGGCGGCUCACUGGCCCGGUACUGACGCUGAGGUGCGAAAGCGUGGGGAGCAAACAGG
rnacentral:rRNA from 1 species